rnacentral:rRNA from 1 species
UAGGGAGGGUGCGAACGUUGCUCGGAAUCAUUGGGCGUAAAGCGCACGUAGGCGGCGGCGUAAGCGGGAUGUGAAAGCCCAGGGCUCAACCCUGGAAGUGCAUCCCGAACUGUGUCGCUUGAAUCUCGGAGGGGGACAGAGAAUUCCCGGUGUAGAGGUGAAAUUCGUAGAUAUCGGGAGGAAUACCAGUGGCGAAGGCGCUGUCCUGGACGAAGAUUGACGCUGAGGUGCGAAAGCGUGGGGAGCAAACAGG